rnacentral:tRNA from 2 species
UCCGCGAUAGCUCAAUCGGCAGAGCAUGCGGCUGUUAACCGCAGGGUUCAAGGUUCAAGUCCUUGUCGCGGAG